rnacentral:rRNA from 4 species
UUGAUGUUCUAACGUGGACCCGUGAUCCGGGUUGCGGACAGUGUCUGGUGGGUAGUUUGACUGGGGCGGUCUCCUCCUAAAGAGUAACGGAGGAGCACGAAGGUUGGCUAAUCCUGGUCGGACAUCAGGAGGUUAGUGCAAUGGCAUAAGCCAGCUUGACUGCGAGCGUGACGGCGCGAGCAGGUGCGAAAGCAGGUCAUAGUGAUCCGGUGGUUCUGAAUGGAAGGGCCAUCGCUCAACGGAUAAAAGGUACUCCGGGGAUAACAGGCUGAUACCGCCCAAGAGUUCAUAUCGACGGCGGUGUUUGGCACCUCGAUGUCGGCUCAUCACAUCCUGGGGCUGAAGUAGGUCCCAAGGGUAUGGCUGUUCGCCAUUUAAAGUGGUACGCGAGCUGGGUUUAGAACGUCGUGAGACAGUUCGGUCCCUAUCUGCCGUGGGCGCUGGAGAACUGAGGGGGGCUGCUCCUAGUACGAGAGGACCGGAGUGGACGCAUCACUGGUGUUCGGGUUGUCAUGCCAAUGGCACUGCCCGGUAGCUAAAUGCGGAAGAGAUAAGUGCUGAAAGCAUCUAAGCACGAAACUUGCCCCGA